rnacentral:rRNA from 1 species
GGCAAGUCGAACGAAGCCUUCGGGCUUAGUGGCGGACGGGUGAGUAACGCGUGAGAAUCUCCCUUCAGGAUGGGGACAACCGUUGGAAACGACGGCUAAUCCCCAAUGUGCCGAGAGGUGAAAGGGUUUCCGCCUGAAGAAGAGCUCGCGUCCGAUUAGUUAGUUGGUGAGGUAAGAGCUCACCAAGGCAGCGAUCGGUAGCUGGUCUGAGAGGAUGAGCAGCCACACUGGGACUGAGACACGGCCCAGACUCCUACGGGAGGCAGCAGUGGGGAAUUUUCCGCAAUGGGCGAAAGCCUGACGGAGCAACGCCGCGUGUGGGAAGAAGGCUCUUGGGCUGUCAACCACUUUUCUCAGGGAAGAAGUUCUGACGGUACCUGAGGAAUCAGCCUCGGCUAACUCCGUGCCAGCAGCCGCGGUAAUACGGAGGAGGCAAGCGUUAUCCGGAAUUAUUGGGCGUAAAGCGUCCGCAGGGGGCGCAUCAAGUCUGCUGUUAAAGGCUGGAGCUUAACUCCGGUAGAGCAGUGGAAACUGGUGCGCUAGAGGGCGACAGGGGUAGAGGGAAUUCCCAGUGUAGCGGUGAAAUGCGUAGAGAUUGGGAAGAACACCGGUGGCGAAAGCGCUCUACUGGGUCGCACCUGACCCUCAGGGACGAAAGCUAAGGUAGCGAAAGGGAUUAGAUACCCCUGUAGUCUUAGCCGUAAACGAUGGAUACUAGGGCGUGGCUUGUAUCGACCCAAGCCGUGCC